UACGUAGGGGGCUAGCGUUGUCCGGAUUUAUUGGGCGUAAAGAGCGUGUAGGCGGCCAGGUAGGUCUGCUGUGAAAACUCGAGGCUUAACCUCGAGAUGUCGGCGGAAACCAUCUGGCUAGAGUCCGGAAGAGGAGAGUGGAAUUCCGUGGUGUAGCGGUGAAAUGCGCAGAUAUCAGGAAGAACACCCGUGGCGAAGGCGGCUCUCUGGGACGGUACUGACGCUGAGACGCGAAAGCGUGGGGAGCGAACAGG
rnacentral:rRNA from 1 species